rnacentral:rRNA from 1 species
AUUGCCUCAGUAACGGCGAGUGAAGCGGCACAGCUCAAAUUUGAAAUCUGGCCCUUUCAGGGUCCGAGUUGUAAUUUGCAGAGGAUGCUUCGGGUUCGGUUCCGGUCUAAGUUCCUUGGAACAGGACGUCAUAGAGGGUGAGAAUCCCGUAUGUGACCGGCCGCCACGCCCGUGUGAAGCUCCUUCGACGAGUCGAGUUGUUUGGGAAUGCAGCUCAAAAUGGGUGGUAAAUUUCAUCUAAAGCUAAAUAUUGGCCAGAGACCGAUAGCGCACAAGUAGAGUGAUCGAAAGAUGAAAAGCACUUUGGAAAGAGAGUCAAACAGUACGUGAAAUUGUUGAAAGGGAAGCGCUUGCAACCAGACUUGCCCGCGGGUGAUCAGCCGGUAUUCUUACCGGUGCACUCGCCCGUGGUCAGGCCAGCAUCGGUUCGGACGGCUGGAUAAAGUCCACUGGGAUGUAGCUCCUCUCGGGGAGUGUUAUAGCCAGAGGUGCCAUGCAGCCCGCCCGGACCGAGGAUCGCGCUUCGGCUAGGAUGCUGGCGUAAUGGUUGUAAGCGACCCGUCUUGAAACACGGACCAAGGAGUCUAACAUCUAUGCGAGUGUUUGGGUGUCAAACCCAUGCGCGUAAUGAAAGUGAACGGAGGUGGGAACCCUUCAAGGGUGCACCAUCGACCGAUCCUGAUGUCUUCGGAUGGAUUUGAGUAAGAGCAUAGCUGUUGGGACCCGAAAGAUGGUGAACUAUGCCUGAAUAGGGUGAAGCCAGAGGAAACUCUGGUGGAGGCUCGCAGCGGUUCUGACGUGCAAAUCGAUCGUCAAAUUUGGGUAUAGGGGCGAAAGACUAAUCGAACCAUCUGCCACUAGAUG